rnacentral:rRNA from 1 species
UAAGGAAUAUUGGACAAUGGUCGCAAGACUGAUCCAGCCAUGCCGCGUGCAGGAUGACUGCCCUAUGGGUUGUAAACUGCUUUUGUACGGGAAUAAACCCCUCUACGUGUAGAGGGCUGAAUGUACCGUAAGAAUAAGGGUCGGCUAACUUCGUGCCAGCAGCCGCGGUAAGACGAAGGACCCGAGCGUUAUCCGGAUUCAUUGGGUUUAAAGGGUGCGUAGGCGGGUUGAUAAGUCAGUGGUGAAAGCCUAAUGCUUAACAUUAGAACUGCCAUUGAUACUGUCAAUCUUGAAUAUGUUUGAUGUGGGCGGAAUAUGACAUGUAGCGGUGAAAUGCUUAGAUAUGUCAUAGAACACCGAUUGCGAAGGCAGCUCACAAAGCCAUUAUUGACGCUGAGGCACGAAAGUGCGGGGAUCAAACAGG